rnacentral:lncRNA from 1 species
CUAAGUGAUCAGACUCAGGGACUAAGUGAUCAGACUCAUUGUCUCCAGCCCACAGCUAGGCACUCUCCCCUGGUGAUUGCAUUUCCACUGCGGUGACCUCUCGAAAUCAGAUCCUCACCUUUGGAAAUUUUAUUUGUUGUAUUUACUUGCCAAGGUCUCAAGUUUCAAUGUCGCCUUAGUAUAUAACUGCUCACCUCUGACCAUUCUCAGAAUUCUACUUCAGCCUAACUUCAUGCCUGGCUACCUUCUGCCCCACAGGGAGAAGAAUUACCCUCCAGGGAGGCGGUCCCGAUGUCCCAGUCACUGGAAAACUGUGGUGAGGAGGCUGUUCUGCUUAAAGUCCUCCGCCCCCUGCUUCAAGUGUCGGGCACAAGACACCAGUACACUUCAUCCCAGGAGGGAAAAAUCUUCAUCCGCGCUCAGCAAAGAACCCGUCUCUGUGUUACAGUAUCAAGAGCUAAAGCAAGAAGGGGAGAAAAAGGAGCUGGGGAUAACCUAAAAAUGCAUCUGCCAGGGACAUUGGCCUCCGAUUCGGUGUCUUCUGUUACCAGAAAUGAAGCCGGAAACAGUCUUUUUCCUGUAAACUGAGUGAAGCCCAGAGAACUCAGCUUUGUGUGAUCAGACACCUGAAAUCUGGAAUGCCGUCUGCUGUCUUCCACAGACCCAGCAGGGAAGAGAAGGAAACUCCUCGACCAAAGAGAGGUAGGGCUUCUGCGGUUCCAGACACCGUGUGCACGGGGACACGGGCAAAGGGCUGAGCUGCUGUCGGCGUGUGGGCUUCUCUCUGAGGUGUUUUCCUAACACGGGUCAACUCCCCAACACCCACUGGGCAUCCAACAAUUCGACUCCAUUCUGAUGCUAACCCCAUGAGGUUCUGGAGUGAUGGGAAGUUCAGAGUGGGCGGCCAAGAAAGAAUUCUUGAAGAUGUCUUUGGUGCAAAGAGGUGACUCUUAAUUUCCUUUGUUCAUAUAAUAUAUAUAUAUACACACACACACACACACACACACACACACACACACACACUUAAUGUUUAUUUUUGAGAGAGACAAACUCGUGGGCAGAAAGAGCUGCCCUGGGGUUGUGAAGACUGGUUAUAUAGUACAGAGUUGGGGGAGGUUAAAGUCAAGAGGAACUUUCUUUUUUUGUUGUUGUUGUUGAUAUUUGUUUUAAUGUUUACUUUCUUUUUGAGAGAGAGUAAACACCAGCAGGGGAGGGGCAGAGAGAGAGGGAGACACAGAAUCUGACGCGGGCUCCAGGCUCUGAGCUGUCAGCACAGAGCCAGAUGCGGGGCUCAAACCCACGAACCGAGAGAUCAUGACCUGAGCUGAAGUCGGAUGCCCUACCCACUGAGCCAGCCCAGCGCCCCAAAAGGAAGUUUCUUAAUGGGGUUUCCAUAUGUUAAAUAAGACUCAGAUUACUGGAGGCCUAGCUAUUGACAAACUAAGGUUGUUUUCCCCUCUAGCAAUGCAUUAACAUUAAGACAGUAGGGAGUUACUGGACUUUAGGCUAUUGAUAAGAUUGCCCUUUUCUUCUAAACUGAUGGAGAUUCUAUCAGUUUAACCAUUUGUUUUUGGGCCUUUCCUUUGUU